AAACACUUUCUCUUUUCUUGUUUUGAUGAUUUGAAAUCCAAAAUUUGAACGAAGGCACUGAGAGACACAGGCUAAGACUGUCUAUAUUUCUGUAACAAUGUGAAUUUCAACUUGUUCCUGCCAGCUCCUACACAGACAGUUGUCUGAGAAUAAUGUUCCAUCAUCUGAUUUAGUUUCGAUUACUUGUGUCAGCUUGCACAAACUAAAACCCCAUCAUCCUGUUCACCGGGCACCAUUUCAAUGUAAUGAGCACAAUCUGUUCCUCAAAGCAUUUAUGGUCACUUCAGUUGUAUUUAUGUGACUGGGAAGGAAGAAAAAACAUGCUUCAUGAACAAUGGUUUUACUUUUAGCCAGAAAUUUGAUGGAAUAGGAGAACUCUGCUGAAACUUUUACUGUGAGCCUGAGUUUUGUCUGAAUCCAUCUAUGUAAGCAACAUCAAUGGUUAGAAAGUGAACUUUCUGUAUUUCAGUUGAGCUUGUAUUUCUCUCGUUCUAUUGGGGCUCAAAUAAAUAAUUUGUCAAUGUCUCUGGAAUUUUGUUUUCUUAAAUUGUACUGGAAGAAGAAAAAUCUGCUAAAUUACUUGCUCUUGUAAAUUGUUCAAAAAUCAUGAAUGAAAAUACUGCUUAAAGAAAUGCAGUAGUUGUUGCUUGGCUUUGCAGUUGUGUGUGUGUUGGGUGGUGGGUUUUUGUUGUGUGUGUUUUGUUUGUUUGUUUUUUUUAACAUGUUGUUAUGUGUUUUUUCUUUCUUAGAUUGUGAUGGAUGAGGAUGUGUUGUACCUUUUAGGAGGCAGAAGUGAACGUCAUCUCUGGACCGAUCAUCACUGCAAAAAGGAACAAGAAGGUGAUGCGUUUUCCGUGAAUGGAUGAGAGCAGCAUGCAGAUGCUGUGAACAUUGGAGAAGCGAAACACAGAAAUCAACUGUUCUGCCAUGCUCCGGAGCAAAGAUCACUGAUCCUCCCUGGUUUGAGGACCAAAAACACCCUGCAGGUCGGAAGGUUAAAAAAGUCUGCUGUUCAAAACUAGCCAAAGUCAACAAAAAGGCAACUAAAGGUGUGCCUUCCAAGACGGCUCCAGUGCAAACAAGGAAACACUGCAAGCCUUGUGCUCAGCCAGACCCUCUGCGAAUUCCUGGACCCCUUCCGCGGUUAAAAUAA
rnacentral:lncRNA from 1 species